UACCCAGAAUGCAAUUGCUGUAGCACGCACACCCACACAGCCACGUAAACACAGGCCUCCGAUGUGUGAAUGAAAUCGCUGGGAUGUGACAGACGCAAACAAUGUGGCGCUUUCAUUCGGGGAAACAUCUUCUGUGAAAGAAAACCCGUCUUCGUUUGCACCCUCUUCAUACCGCAGGCAAGGCCGACCUAUCAUGAGCUAAAAAUCACAUUGGCAUUUCCGGUUUCACCAGCAGGCUUACGAGUGGAUGAAUUUUGAAAGCUGUUAAAGUGAGAUUGCCUGUAAUUCUUUUGAAGAUGUCCAU